AUUGAACGCUGGCGGCAUGCUUUACACAUGCAAGUCGAACGGUAACAGGCCGCAAGGUGCUGACGAGUGGCGAACGGGUGAGUAAUGCAUCGGAACGUGCCCAGUCGUGGGGGAUAACGCAGCGAAAGCUGUGCUAAUACCGCAUACGAUCUGUGGAUGAAAGCGGGGGACCGUAAGGCCUCGCGCGAUUGGAGCGGCCGAUGUCAGAGUAGGUAGUUGGUGGGGUAAAGGCUCACCAAGCCAACGAUCUGUAGCUGGUCUGAGAGGACGACCAGCCACACUGGGACUGAGACACGGCCCAGACUCCUACGGGAGGCAGCAGUGGGGAAUUUUGGACAAUGGGCGCAAGCCUGAUCCAGCAAUGCCGCGUGCAGGAAGAAGGCCUUCGGGUUGUAAACUGCUUUUGUACGGAGCGAAAAGGCUCCCUCUAAUACAGGGGGCUCAUGACGGUACCGUAAGAAUAAGCACCGGCUAACUACGUGCCAGCCGCCGCCGUAAGAC
rnacentral:rRNA from 1 species